GUUGUUCGGCUUCUCUGUGAGACUACAGGGAAAUGUCAACAAAUUAAUUGCACCCACUGUUAAAAGGGGCUUCAAAAGCUGUUCUCAAUCAUCUGCUUUAUCCAAAUACUGUGUGUGGGAGGUUGUGUUGUUUACUACCAGCUAUCAUCUAUAUUACCAUAGCACCUAAGAGCCUCGGAAAUGUAGAGGGCUCCAUUGCAGGGAUGCAACGAAGAGAGAGAAAAAAAAGACCAUCACAGUCUCCAAAUAUCCUCUCAGGUGUUAAUCCUUUCACACAACCUGAAGUAAAAAAACAGUGCAACUCAACCAUUCUCACCUCUUUAAAACUUUCACCUUUUCUUUCUAGGUGAAAGUAGGUCUUAGAGCCUUUUUGUUACUCAUCUGCUGCCCUUUCAAGUUUUAUCUGCAAGACACUAGAUAGGGUUAAGCCUAACACUGAAUAUGUAUCUUUUUAUUUCAGCUCAAACUGCAUUGUUGGCAGGGUGAUGUUACCUUGAUAACAUUGUAACAUGGGGUGCUUUGCAUAUAUUGGGAUCUGUAUCCUUCUAAUUAUCCAACGACUAGAUAAUCUUCAAGGGCAGGAAUUUUCCAAAUGGUCUGGAAUGCAGGCUGCAGAUAAACAGAUAAUAUCCUAGUGAGGUAAAAGCAAACCAAAUAUGGUGUUCUGGAAUGAGAUGCAGCACUGUCAGUUUGGAACACACAAUACAAUCUGUAUAUUAAAAAAGUAAAUUAAGCAAUUUUGUCAGUUACAAGACAACCUUACUGCAGAGGUCCAGCUCAUUUUUUUUUUUCAACCAGGUAGUAUGAGAGCAGUUUCCCUUUGUGGGUGCACAGGUUGUUGCUGUUAAUAGGACCGAGUCGGUGCUCUAUGCCUGGAGAGUGGUUUUCAACCUUGUAAUCCACAUACCCUUGGAAUUCCUUAGGCUAAUUCCAGAGGCUCUUGGAAGAGCCUUAUAAAUAGGCUCCCAACAACUCAAGAGUGGUCCUCACAAUCAUUGGAAAAAAGUUUUGAGGAGCUUGUUUUUUCCCUUUUCCCUAAACAAAAUAAAGCCAAGCUGUUCUGCAGGACGCGUGAUUUCAAUUUCUGAAGAUUGCUUGGGGCUUCGGUGAAGUCGGUGUAAAGAAGGCUGUAUAUUUACCCAGGUAGACCAGUAACCACCUGCAGGACAGAUCCAAGCCUUCUCAUUUCACCCUUUCUGGUAGGAAACAUUGUCAGGAUUCAGCAAACCGUUUGCCUUGAGUUUUCUGCAUCUGCUGGCGAAGGUCCAUUAUUUCUUUUGCUCGUAUUUUGUUUAUAACAGAGAAUGAAACAUGAGGCAGCAGUGCUGUCCCUUACAAGGGAAAAACUGAAAAUCCAAAGCGAUCUCAUGACUCCAAACAGAAUCAGAUGAUAAGCCUGGGAAGCUUACCCAGCUAUGAUGGUGCCUUGUACCAAUCAACAGCUCAGGAUUAGUAGGAUUAAAGUAAAUCUUAUUUCUGGCCAUCCAUGUCUGAAUUUCAGUUUGGCAUCUGGUCAACAAAGCAACCGCCUUUUGCAAGGUAGUGUGACAAAUUUCUUUUUCCAUAAACAUUAUGGAAAAAAAAAGAAAAAAGAAAAAAAGGAUGUUCUUGAAAAGUCUGUGAAGUGCUCUGCAUUACCUGUGCAGAUGGUGCUAAAAUUGGAGCAGAACAAAAUGCUCAACUUUCAUCUUAUAAAAGAGCAAAGCAGAAACACAUCAUGUCGUCUCACGCUUACGUCUGCUCAGGUGAGGGAGGAGAAGCACUUCUUAUACCACACCCAAGUCCUCCAGAUGAAGAAUUUGUAUGAGUAUUCUCUUCUCUUUUAUACCUUGUGUAUGCAAUUGUGGAUGAGUAUUGGCUGACACACUUCAGUUCUUAGCCAGACGAAACGGGGAAGUUCAAGGACAUGAAAAGGACAUGGGUAUGCAGAAAAGUGAAGGAGCUGGUAUUUUGCAGUUGCAAAGGUGCUGAGAUUGCAAGCUUUAAACAAAGCGUGGUGUUCACAGCCACGUGAGUGUGCUUAGGUUUUGAAUGAUCUUUGCCAGAAGCUUUCCUCUUCAACAGAGACUCCAUUUCUAACAAAAACAGCUUUAAAUCCGAUUCUUCAUAGUGUUAACUUCUCAGAACAAGGACAUUUCUUAAAGAUCUCUCAGUGUUUUCCAGAAACUCUGCUCUCUCUUGCGCUUGCGGCUACUGGUUGACUCCUCAGUACUCAGGUAUCACAUGGAGGCAUGCCCCAUGUGCAAACGUGUCCAAACCAGCAUGGUGAAGGCAGCAGAGCAUAGUCCCAGCACAGGAACAAAUGAACUGCGUUUCUCUUGCCUACAGGCUUCUCCUCUGGACCGUGGAGUUGCUGAGUUUGAUAAAUACUAACGGCUAAAAAAUACACACCACAUUUAUAGUAGAUAGGAAAUGCCAGAUCUGCAUUUUGAAUGUCUCCAAUUCCAUCCCAACUCAGUGUGGCUAUCUGAAGCAUCAAGUAUCUAUUACCUGAAACCAAUAGGCCUUUUUAACCUUCCCCAGUGAAGCACUACUCAGGAUGAUUAACAGUGGUAGGGGCUGCUCUUUGAGCAGUUAAAUGCUGUAUUUUGAAAUCCCAUCAGACAGGGCUUAAUGUCUUCACAUUGAUAACCACUCCUUGGAUACCUCCUCAAUUCUUUGCUCUCAGUGCUAAGUGAAGAGGGAGCUACCCACUCCCUGCUUUAUGGCCUGAAAGUUUCUGAGCUAGAAUGUUAGUCAUUAAAAAUGACAGAGCUUGACCAGCGUCAAGAGCAUAACAUCUGACCUGGUGUGUAUAGUUAUUUUGUUCAGUUAAAACCAUGCUUUUAGGAAUAGGUGGCUGUAUAUAUGGUCUGUCUGCAACUCUAUCCAUCCCCAGUGGCCCGAGGGCUGCUGCUGCUGCUGUCUUCUGGAAGCAAAGAGGAAUAGCAGCUUUUUAAUCUGAAUACAACCAGGUAUAAAGAUUAUGCUGUCGGCAAACAAUGUAUCAUGUAACAGCCAAGCUCUUCUAAAGGGGAUGUUUUCAGUUUUAUGGGAGUUUUCAGUCCAGAAUGGAUGCAUUAGUGCAGGUUCAGUAAGAAAUAUGAUACCAGGAGUGAAUAGCAGUAAACAUCUUCUUGAGGGUGAAACUCAGGGUUUAAGUGAUACUUACGAAGAUACAGGCCUACAUUAAUGUUACCAAACGGAAUGAAUGGGCCAGAUGGUCAGCUGGUACAAAAGGAGCCUUGCUCUGUAGAAAAUGAAGAAUACUGAUUCUGUUUAUUGUUCAUCAUUGUUAAACGGCUUGUCCAUUAAGCCACCGGGGAUACAUCGCUUUCCCUUCAGUGCUCAUGGCUACUAAUAUCAAAGGUUUAAUAAGAAGGAGAGUAUAAGGAUCUCAGACAAUCGUUGGAUACACCACGCUGUGACACAUGGGGGUGUGUUCCUUGUGCCCCACGUGCUCUUCUGUUCACACCAACCCAAGAGAGAGCACUCAUUUCACAGCUGCAGUAGGCUCUUGCUUUUGGCAGGAAGAUGUUAACCCCAGGAAGGCUGGAGAACAAGGGCAAGUGCAUGCAUCCAAAUGCACAGCCUAUUUCCCCAAACCUUCCCUCCUUCCUUAUACACACUUUGGUGGAUCCUCCUGCGGGAGGCUCUGGGGCGUGUGGAGACCUCACCAAACUAAACACUGGAGUUCCUGCACUUUUACGUUUCUACUAGAAAUGAAGGAAAUAUUGUCUGAAAAGGCUUCGCAACCAUGACGUGUGAUAACCAGGACUUGCAGGAGUCUCGGCGAGAUGCUGUAGGAGUCUAAAUGGCAUCCUAACGGGAAAAGGGGCUGCUAACUGGAUGUAUUCGAACGUCCAUAGAAGAGAAAUCAGAGGCUAUUCUUCAACAGUGACCCCCACCGGAGAGCAAGCCUUAACUUUGUUCUCCUCAUCUAAGCGUAAAGAGGUCAGACCGAGGAAGACGUCGAGCCUUCGCGAGGAAGACUUCUGACUUCAUCCCCACGACCACCAGAGGGAGACCCCCUACUACGGACAACGCAUGCGCCAGGGGAGGGGUAGUAUGUAAAUGACUUUCUGGAAGAACAAUGGAUACUUGAAUGGGUUCCAAGAAUUUCUGCUGAAUAUGUAUGGAUUUGGCUUAUAAAUAUGUAUUGCUUCUUCUGGCUUGUGUGUAGGUUUGGUGGAGCGAUCCCCCUGCACCUGAUUGAUUGCGUAAUUAUCAAAUAAAUCAUACCUGCUUUAUAACCUGCUUGGGUUAUAGAGUUUGUUUCCGCAAGUCAGCCUCGGCAUGAAAGGGAAACCCCAGUGUGGUUAGCAUAAACUCCAUCAUAAAGAACCAGGAGUGCUCUUGGAUACUCGGAUGCCUGUACAGCCUUGCCUGCUAUUAAGACAAGUGCAAAAUAGUAAAUAUUCCAAAUUUAGCCAGAGAAACAAUAUGCACACAUCAUUUGAAAGCUAAUAUCCAUAACAGGUGCAAUAGCAGCUGCAGAGAAAUCCACACAAGACUUAUAACCAAUACUUUAAAUGCACU
rnacentral:lncRNA from 1 species